CACUGCCUGUGUGUAACUGCCGUAGAACACAGAGGCAGGCCAGAGAGCGGAUAGGUGCUAUGCACCAGUGGCAUUCUGAGGUCACGGCACGCAUCACAAGGGGGCCUUGCCCGUGUCAGCAGGGCCCAGAGUCAGGGUCCUCCGCUGCCUGAGGCGUCAACAUGCCUGCCUGCAAUGUGUUUGUGCACGUGCGUGCACACGCGUACGUGGGUAAACACGUCUGUGCACGUGUGUGUUGCUUCUCUGGCCAGGCCCGGCUGCCCCACUCAUGGCCUAGGGGAUGCCAAAUUCCAGGGGCCAGAAAGAGCUCGAGAUAAAAUGAACCUGCAAGGGGAGGGCUUUGACCUGGGCUGAGUCUGCCUGUGCCAUCCAACUGGAGUCUCAAGUCCUGAGGCAGGACGUCCAGAUGCCCCAGUGCAGGGCCCUCCUGAUCAACACCUGCUCCCCUGUACUCAUUAGCAACCUCACCCACCCGACUCUCAAAGCACGCUUGGCUCUCGUAUCCAGGAGCUCUGCAUCUGUAGAUUCAGCAACAGCAGAUGGAAAAUAUUCAGAAAAUAAAUUGGAUGGUUAUGUUUCUAUUGAA